rnacentral:rRNA from 1 species
AAGCCCUACGGGACGCAGCAGUAGGGAAUCUUUCACAAUGGGCGAAAGCCUGAUGGAGCAACGCCGCGUGCAGGAUGAAGGCCUUCGGGUUGUAAACUGCUUUUAUAAGCGAGAAAUAUGAUGGUAACUUAUGAAUAAGGAUCGGCUAACUACGUGCCAGCAGCCGCGGUCAUACGUAGGAUCCGAGCAUUAUCCGGAGUGACUGGGUGUAAAGGGUGAGUAGGCGGCGAUGCAAGGCAUAUGUGAAAUUCCGGUGCUUAACUCCG